CACACACAAAAACCGAAGGGUACACGUGGACCACUUAAUUCACGCGGCAUAGACACGUCAGCGGGCGACACCGAUUGGGUCAGUGCCGCGUGGCACGCCAGUUGGCACAGCCUCUACUGCUCCUGCCCUGGGGCAGUGGCAUUGCAGAGCAGCGAUGCAGCGAUGGCGCAGGACCACCACCGCGAGCGAUGUCGGCUCUUGCUGUAGCUAUGGACAGCGCCACCCCGGAGUCGAGUAAUGCGCGCCGUUGGCUCGCACCGCCGACGUGAAUCACACAACAAGAUUGUGUGGGUUCAGUCUGGACCGAAGUGCCGGGGCCGGGGAGCGGGCACGUGCGAGAGAGAUCGUGUUGCAGGGUGGCGAUGGCCGUGGCGCUUCCUCGUCCAACAGUCUGCAGACGGUCACUGUGACUCGUCUUGUCGAGCUCGGUUGUGGAACGCGUGAUUCUCAUCUUGUAUUUUCGCGGCGGUGAAGCUAGCAAAGUUGGGGUGGCGUUUCAUGAAGAGUGGCUGUCACCCAGGAGGUACCGAGAGCAGAAUUUCGUGUUUCCAGCUUGCAUCCACAAAAAAUCAGACCGUCCUCAGCGUGCACGCAUCCUGAUUAUGAAUCAUCGUCUAGGUGAGACUUGUAGAUGCUGAGAUUGUGACGGGCGUGCUGGCAGUUCUGGUUGUUUUAUGUGAGCAGUUGUGUCGUGCCUUUCUUAACUUUCCAAGUUAUGGAAGAGUUGAGGAAAUAUUUAACAGCAGCAUCUCACGUAUGGGGGGAACAGUUGUUAAAGUCUGCUUGCUUCUGGCCGAUGCCCUUUUUCCAGUUCCUCGAAUUCGGUGAGCAUGCUUUUUCUGCCAGUCCUCCUUGCUUUGUUCGCAGCGACCACGAUGACGACCUCGUAUCCUGCCAUGUGCUAGAAGAAACUUGAAGUGCACAAGAGUCGACACGAGACUGUUGUGAUCGUGACGAAGCAACAACCUGAUACACUCAACCGUGUCUGUCACCCUCAUGUCCUUCAUGGUGGUUCCAUGACCAGAUUACAGUUGCAACUGCAGAGCCUUAAGUGCAAUCACACUCCCCAUAAACUGAGCCUCUACAGAAUCAGUACUCUCUGGGGUACUAGGUAGGUUACCCUCUCAUGUCAUCUCAACGGGGAGCUUCUGCCCGAUGUAUACAACAUGAGCUUCGGACCACGUUUAGGCAGAUCCAUGAGAUUCCAAAGCUAACUACCAGCGAUGUGCACUUUAUCUAGAGCUAUUUCGACCGAAGCCCAUGUACAACAUGCGGCUCCGAGCAUGUGACAAUCAAUGUAGAGUCGCAAACACGUCAUGGGUCGCCACUUCAGCUGCGAGAACCCAAAUUCCGUGAUCUGGAAAUGACUCUUUAUCUCCUUGACAUGCUUAGAAAAUGUUGGUUAUAAACACAGGUCGCUUUCUGGGUUAUAGACAUGAUAGUUCAACCCAGGAGACCUUCGAAGACUCAGAGUGCAAUGAAUGGGAUGAUACCGCAGCUUGAUUUCAUGAAACCUUUUCAAAGGAGAAAAGCUUCUAGCCUGCAGAACAGCACAAAAUUUGCCGGGCUCUCUGUCCGAAUGUCAGCUGCAGGAGCUGCUUCCAAUGUCAUGGUUUAGCCAUGGAAGGAGUUCCAUGCAAGUUUUUCUUUCUGCAGUGAAGGUCAGUCUGACGAUGUUAUCAUAAUAAUAAUAAUAAUUCACUAUCAAAAUAUUCUUAAAUGCGUGUGCGGAAAUGCUUUUGAAUAUGUAAU